rnacentral:snRNA from 1 species
AUAUUAUGGCAGUACAUAUUCUAAAAUUGGAAUGAUACAGACAUUAUCAUGGCUCCUGUGCAAGGACAACAUGCAAAUUCGUGAAGCGUUCAAUAUUUUU